rnacentral:tRNA from 1 species
GGUGAUGUGGCCUAGUGGUCAUGGCAUCUGCCCGGUAAGCGGAAGGUCGUGGGUUCGAUUCCCAUCCCUUGACA